rnacentral:rRNA from 1 species
AGGACGAACGCUGGCGGCGUGCUUAACACAUGCAAGUCGAGCGGAAAGGCCCUUCGGGGUACUCGAGCGGCGAACGGGUGAGUAACACGUGAGUAAUCUGCCCCUAGCUCUGGGAUAGCUCCGGGAAACCGGGAUUAAUACCAGAUACGACCACUUUAGACAUCUGUUGUGGUGGAAAGAAUUUCGGCUAGGGAUGAGCUCGCGGCCUAUCAGCUUGUUGGUGAGGUAACGGCUCACCAAGGCGACGACGGGUAGCCGGCCUGAGAGGGCGACCGGCCACACUGGGACUGAGACACGGCCCAGACUCCUACGGGAGGCAGCAGUGGGGAAUAUUGCGCAAUGGGCGAAAGCCUGACGCAGCGACGCCGCGUGGGGGAUGGAAGGCCUUCGGGUUGUAAACCCCUUUCAGCAGGGACGAAGCGAAAGUGACGGUACCUGCAGAAGAAGCGCCGGCUAACUACGUGCCAGCAGCCGC